rnacentral:tRNA from 1 species
GGCUACGUAGCUCAGAUGGUUAGAGCGAGCGGCUCAUAUCCGCUAGGUCGGGGGUUCAAAUCCCUCCGUAGCUACUA